rnacentral:lncRNA from 1 species
AAGGAUCAGGCAUUCCUCCUCCAUUUACAUCGUCAAAUAAUAUCUUAACGAGUUGAAUGAUUUUGUGGUGGUAAUGAAUUUGUGAUAUGCAUAUAUAUCAUCAAGAUCUCAAAUUGGAUCCCCUUAAUUCAAUUAGUGGCUAUAUAUCCUCUAUUCUGCAUCAUCAAGAUUCAAGACUCAGAUCUGUUGGGCAUUACAUUUAUGUAUUAUAUGUGUUUUGUUCACGUACUUUGUUAAUAUAGCUCGAUUUCUCUUUCAUAUAGCAUGGUUUGAUGGGGCUUGAAGGGACUAUCCACUUGCAAAUCCAUUGAUUUGGAUUAUGAACGAGAGAGACAAC